UGAGACCAGCCUAGGAAACAGAGGGAGACCU
rnacentral:piRNA from 1 species